CUCUUAUCAAGAGUGGCAGAGGGACUGGCCCUAUGAUGCCCGGCAACCGUUCUUUUAUAGAAUUGGUGCUAAUUCCUGCAAAACCUAUAUUAGGUUUUGAAAGAUAAGAG
rnacentral:ncRNA from 2 species